GGGCAACAGACCACAGCAGGAGGGUGUUUUGGUUGGAGUUCAGGAGACAUAACCACACUUGCCCCAGCCCUGUUGAAUUCAGUCAGACCACUCUGUGCUUUGUGGCUGCACAUGUCACUUAGGAGGGAUGCCGCUUUUAUUCAUUUUGUGGCUGUUCCUGGAAACAGUGAGCUGAAGAUUCCGUUGGUUUGUGGACAAGCUGAAUGGGCUUUGUCAGGAGAGAGAGAGCCUAGCGACUGUGUGGGCCAUAAUCAGGCCUUGAGACACCAGACGCACCUGGGAUGCAUAUACAUACAUGGAGGCAAAGCAUUCAGACACAUUGAAAGGAAGAGAAAGAAAGGCAGGUAGGCCAUCCUGGGCCCAGGCAUUAUGGGUUGCUGUUGGAAUUUGUGAAGGUGUUUCCAGGAAAGGAUUGCCUGAGGAGACAAGACCUAACUGCUCUGAAUAUGGCUGGCACCUUCCAUGGGCUGGACUCCAGAAGUGACAGGGAAAACAAGAAAGGCUGAUGAACACUGUAGUUCCCUUCGUCUGCUGGCUGGUCCACUGAGCUGUGAACAAACAGGUGUUGUCACCAGGAGCUAUGCCUUCUCUGCCAUGACUGGGGAAGCCUCCAUCUUCCUAGACUGUGUACCCUCAAAUUGGAGUCACCCUAGCCCCGCCCGGAAUUGGACUACACCUCCCUGACUGCACUGGAUUCAACUCCCUCCGUUUCGACUGACACUCCAACCAGAACCUCGAGUAACGACUUCAAUCAAGUUGAGGAUUUCAACAUAGAUCUUCAAUCAAACAAAUCUCAUCUAACAUGGACUAGACAUAACUCAUUAGAGACUUUCCCUGUACUGGCAUUUUUUUCCACAGAGCCCCCACAUGACCAUCAUCGUCCCAUUUCAGCAGGAAGUAACCUAGAAGAUGCU
rnacentral:lncRNA from 1 species